CCUACGGGAGGCAGCAGUGGGGAAUUUUGCGCAAUGCUCGUAAGAGUGACGCAGCGACGCCGCGUGAAUGACGAAGGCCUUCGGGUCGUAAAGUUCUUUCGACAGGGAAGAAAAUGCCUAUAAGUAACUGUGUAUGUAUUGACGGUACCUGUAUAAGCAGCCCCGGCUAACUCCGUGCCAGCAGCCGCGGUAAUACGGAGGGGGCGAGCGUUGUUCGGAGGGACUGGGCGUAAAGAGCACGUAGGCGGUGUUGUAAGUCAUUAGUCAAAGACUAGAGCUCAACUUUAGUAAGGCUGGUGAUACUAUAAUACUAGAGUAUCAGAGAGGAUUGCAGAAUUCCUGGUGUAGCGGUGAAAUGCGUAGAUAUCAGGAGGAAUACCGUUAGCGAAGGCGGCAAUCUGGCUGGAAACUGACGCUGAGGUGCGAAAGCGUGGGUAGCAAACAGGAUUAGAUACCCUAGUAGUC
rnacentral:rRNA from 1 species